rnacentral:rRNA from 1 species
AGACGAACCGGUCGAACGUUAUUCGGAAUUACUGGGCUUAAAGAGUGCGUAGGCGGCCUUUCAGGUGAGGUGUGAAAUCCCCCGGCUCAACCGGGGAACUGCGCUUCAAACCGUUUGGCUUGAGGGAGAUAGAGGUGAGCGGAACUGAUGGUGGAGCGGUGAAAUGCGUUGAUAUCAUCAGGAACACCUGUGGCGAAAGCGGCUCACUGGGUCUCUUCUGACGCUGAGGCACGAAAGCUAGGGUAGCGAACAGGAUUAGAUACCCCAGUAGUCC